GUCAGGGAAGGCUAAGCUGGGGCCAAGGAGGACACAAGGAGGAACUGAAAGGAGAGGGGGCACUGUGCUAAACGCUGAGGAUAAAGGGAACGCAAAGGAGAGUUCCUGAUCGACCGACAUAUGUUGGGACCAACGAUAAGCAGAAGAGGGGUGCGGGAAAUUGGGAUGGAGACAGAGAAGAGAUUCCAGGUUCACGGCUGGACCUUUCUGAGUUCCAUUGUCUCCUGGGCAAUCUCUUCAUCACUACUUUGGGUUCCCAGAACCUAUGGUGAUUUCAUUUCCUUUUUGGAUGAAGACAAAAGGAAUAAAGAAGGCGAAUCUGCUAAAGAAAAGACAAAAUUCGAAGACAUCCAAACAGGAGAUCGAAGUGAUUUUUGUAUUAUCUGGAAUUUCAUGUCAUCUGGGGUAUGGUUUUCUUUGUAGAGAGAAUCAGAGUCGAUACUAAGUUGUUUAAAAUGAUUUCUUUACUGCGAAUGACUUCACUAUUCUCAGCAAGACAAUGAUCGAAGACAAUCCCAAAGGACUAAUGAUGAAACAUACUAUCCACCUCCAGA